rnacentral:rRNA from 1 species
AAGUGCUAGUUGAAUAAGCUGGCACCUUGACGGUACCUAACCAGAAAGCCACGGCUAACUACGUGCCAGCAGCCGCGGUAAUACGUAGGUGGCAAGCGUUAUCCGGAAUUAUUGGGCGUAAAGCGCGCGCAGGUGGUUUCUUAAGUCUGAUGUGAAAGCCCACGGCUCAACCGUGGAGGGUCAUUGGAAACUGGGAGACUUGAGUGCAGAAGAGGAAAGUGGAAUUCCAUGUGUAGCGGUGAAAUGCGUAGAGAUAUGGAGGAACACCAGUGGCGAAGGCGACUUUCUGGUCUGUAACUGACACUGAGGCGCGAAAGCGUGGGGAGCAAACAGGAUUAGAUACCCUG